UACUGUGAAUAUGCUGUAGGAUACAGAGAAAGACAGGGGAUUUUCAUACGGACAGGGGUUUUAAAAGCCAGUAGUGAUAUUUAGUAACACACAUUGAUCCGCCGUUGUUAUUUAACUUAGGAGACAGUAUGUUAGAUACUGGGAGUUAUGGUAAACCUGACAAAGAUCUGUCAGGGAUGUCAUUCUCCACCCCUGAGAGGGAUAACGACGGGUGGAGGACUGGUAACUGUGCUGUUGACUGGGGAGCUGGGUGGUGGUAUAAUAGAUGUUACUUCGGCUUACUCAACGGUCCCUGGUCCUCAUCCAACCAACCAUGGUACCCUACAGUAAGAGAUGGGUCAUCUAUAAGAGGUACAACGAUGAUGAGCAGACGUCACUAGGAACCACCAAUCAACCACAAUCGUUUAAGAUACAAGAGACAAUUUAAAAUUGAUUUUUCAUCAGGAAGUUCCUUUUUAAAUAAUAUUUGACUUCAAGUGACAAAACAUGUAAACAGAUAUGCUUUCGGCGAAG